AAAAGAGCAGCUCAUGGGUGUAGAGGGCCAAAUGGGAAGACACCUGGACAUUCUAUAGACUGUUGCUAACUGGGCCCGGGAUAUUGGCAGAAUCAUGUUAGUUGCACUCCCGCCCUGGGAGUGCGGAGAUGUUCUUAGUUCCUGACUAAUGUGUUUGUUCAAGACAAAGGAGUGGGUGGAACCUGGGCUCUCCCAGGCUCCUUGUUUUCCUGUGAAACCCCUUGUUGGAUUGGAGUAUAAAUAGAUGUGCUGCGUGGCUCAGAAGGUUGUCAGUCUGUCUCUCCCGCAGAGGAGGUCAGUGGCCCUCCUAGCUCCCAGCUUGAAAUCUAUUUCUAUGUCUUCUCUCUUUAUUUCUAAUAUUUCUCAAUCCCUGGGCACCUCCGUUUAGAACCGAUUCGUUCAUCUCUCUUUCCAUGAGGGACAUGGAAA